UCUCCCUCUGGCCUGGUGGGAACCCGCGGGGCCUUCCCGAGAGCGGCCAGGGCCCCGGAGCCCGGCUCUGCGCAGGCCGCUGCCGAGGUCCAGUUCCCGGGGGAAGGCAGCUUGUGCUCUGGGCGGAGAGCCCGUGGAGCGACUCGGGUUUAAUAGACGCGCCGGUCCUCUUCCAAGAGCCUGGAAAUCUGCAGAGGGAUCCCGCCUUUCCAGGGAAGCCGGGCUGGGUGAAACUGACAGGUCUUGGCGCGCGGAGGAAGGGGUGGCGGGGAGCCCGGCCGGCUCCCUCCCAGUCUGCGCUCGCUGGCGGCUCCCCGAGGCUCCGGGCUUGGCUCCGCGGUACCUCUGGCUGCAAACACAUCGGCCCCAGAAAGUGGACACGUCCUUGGACAGACAGGCCACAAGUGCUCCAGAGUGGAAGGAAGGAGAUGCCUCCCCUGUGUGCCGUGCAUGGCCAUUCGCAUGACUGCUGGGUUCUAUUCAUCCUAGAGGGUUCAUAGACAUGAGUUCCCACCCAGCCCGCUCCUGCCUGAAGAAGGAAGACGUUCUCCCCC
rnacentral:lncRNA from 1 species